rnacentral:tRNA from 3 species
GGGCUUGUAGCUCAGUCGGUGAGAGCGCACGCCUGAUAAGCGUGAGGUCGGUGGUUCGAGUCCACCCAGGCCCACCA